GACGAACGCUGGCGGCGCGCCUAACACAUGCAAGUCGAGCGAGAACCAGGGCUUCGGCCCUGGGGACAGCGGCGAACGGGUGAGUAACACGUGGGUAACCUGCCCUCGGCACCGGGAUAGCCCGGGGAAACUCGGAUUAAUACCGGACAGCCUCAUGAGCCCUCGGGCGAAUGAGAAAAGGUGGCUUCGGCUUCCGGCUGAGGAUGGGCCCGCGGCCGAUUAGCUUGUUGGUGGGGUAACGGCUCACCAAGGCUCCGAUCGGUAGCUGGUCUGAGAGGACGAUCAGCCACACUGGGACUGAGACACGGCCCAGACUCCUACGGGAGGCAGCAGUGGGGAAUCUUGCGCAAUGGGCGAAAGCCUGACGCAGCGACGCCGCGUGCGGGAAG
rnacentral:rRNA from 1 species